rnacentral:rRNA from 1 species
CCUGGCUCAGAGUGAACGCUGGCGGUAGGCCUAACACAUGCAAGUCGAACGGCAGCACAGGAGAGCUUGCUCUCUGGGUGGCGAGUGGCGGACGGGUGAGGAAUACAUCGGAAUCUACUCUGUCGUGGGGGAUAACGUAGGGAAACUUACGCUAAUACCGCAUACGACCUACGGGUGAAAGCAGGGGACCUUCGGGCCUUGCGCGAUUGAAUGAGCCGAUGUCGGAUUAGCUAGUUGGCGGGGUAAAGGCCCACCAAGGCGACGAUCCGUAGCUGGUCUGAGAGGAUGAUCAGCCACACUGGAACUGAGACACGGUCCAGACUCCUACGGGAGGCAGCAGUGGGGAAUAUUGGACAAUGGGCGCAAGCCUGAUCCAGCCAUACCGCGUGGGUGAAGAAGGCCUUCGGGUUGUAAAGCCCUUUUGUUGGGAAAGAAAUCCAGCUGGCUAAUACCCGGUUGGGAUGACGGUACCCAAAGA